rnacentral:rRNA from 1 species
CCAUCGGUAUUCCUCCAGAUCUCUACGCAUUUCACCGCUACACCUGGAAUUCUACCAUCCUCUCCCAUACUCUAGCUUCCCAGUAUCGAAUGCAAUUCCCAAGUUAAGCUCGGGGAUUUCACAUCCGACUUAAAAAGCCGCCUACGCACGCUUUACGCCCAGUAAAUCCGAUUAACGCUCGCACCCUCUGUAUUACCGCGGCUGCUGGCACAGAGUUAGCCGGUGCUUAUUCUGCGAGUAACGUCCACUAUCCCAGAGUAUUAAUCUAGGUAGCCUCCUCCUCGCUUAAAGUGCUUUACAACCAAAAGGCCUUCUUCACACACGCGGCAUGGCUGGAUCAGGCUUCCGCCCAUUGUCCAAUAUUCCCCACUGCUGCCUCCCGUAGGAGUCUGGGCCGUGUCUCAGUCCCAGUGUGGCGGAUCAUCCUCUCAGACCCGCUACAGAUCGUCGCCUUGGUAGGCCUUUACCCACCAACUAGCUAAUCCGACUUAGGCUCAUCUAUUAGCGCAAGGUCCGAAGAUCCCCUGCUUUCUCCCGUAGGACGUAUGCGGUAUUAGCAUUCCUUUCGGAAUGUUGUCCCCCACUAAUAGGCAGAUUCCUAAGCAUUACUCACCCGUCCGCCGCUAGGAUCAGUACCGAAGCACCUCACCCCGCUCGACUUGCAUGUGUUAAGCCUGCCGCCAGCGUUCAAUCUGAGCCAGGAUCAAACUCU